rnacentral:ncRNA from 1 species
GGAAGCGGAAUGAAUCGAGAGGUUCACGUUCCGUUUUGCGAGAGGCUGAGGGGGAAGUUCCCUCGGUCUACUCACC